rnacentral:rRNA from 1 species
GAUGAACGCUGGCGGCGUGCCUAAUACAUGCAAAUCGAGCGGUAAGGCCCUUCGGGGUACACGAGCGGCGGACGGCUGAGUAACACGUAGGAACGUACCCCAAACUGAGGGAUAAGCACCGGAAACGGUGUCUAAUACCGCAUGUGCUCUUCGGAGUAAAGCUACGGCGGUUUGGGAACGGCCUGCGCAUGAUUAGCUUGUUGGUGAGGUAAUGGCUCACCAAGGCGACGAUCAUUAGCUGGUCUGAGAGGAUGAUCAGCCAGACUGGGACUGAGACACGGCCCAGACUCCUACGGGAGGCAGCAGUAGGGAAUUUUCCACAAUGGGGGCAACCCUGAUGGAGCAACGCCGCGUGCAGGAUGAAUGCCUUCGGGUUGUAAACUGCUUUUAUCUGUGACGAUUAUGACGGUAGCAGAUGAAUAAGGAUCGGCUAACUCCGUGCCAGCAGCCGCCGUAA